rnacentral:rRNA from 1 species
GAGACCCACGCCAACAGUUGCCAGCACGUUCUCUGGAAUGGUGGGGACACUGUUGGGACCGCCUCUGCUAAAGAGGAGGAAGGAAUGGGCAACGGUAGGUCAGCAUGCCCCGAAUUACCCGGGCUACACGCGGGCUACAAUGGACAGGACAAUGGGAAUCGACACCGAGAGGUGAAGGCAAUCCCCUAAACCUGCCCUUAGUUCGGAUUGUGGGCUGCAACUCGCCCACAUGAAGCUGGAAUCCGUAGUAAUCGCGGAUCAACAUUCCGCGGUGAAUAU